rnacentral:lncRNA from 10 species
GAACAGAAAACCUGACAAAUUGGAAAGGAAGACCUGCUGUUGUUUGAUCAAAGUAUCCUGUCAUCUCUAUAUAAAAAGGUCAAUAUUUCUAGCUGUUGAAAGUUGUUGAGGAGGCAGUGUGAAGCUCCAUCCCUUCUCCUGUUGGGAAUUUCUCGGUGAGAAUGGACAUAAAGGUAUCCAACUGCUGAACUGUUUUUGGAAAGUGUAGUUUGAAGCUGAAGUUGAAUGGUCACUCCUACUUCUACUGUGAAUCUGGACUUGUCUGUGAAGAGAUCUGUUUCUUUAGGGCAGUUUUAGAGGCCACUGGGAAGGACCACAGGCCUGCUUCUUAUACCAUAGCCAGCAGGACAGUGACAGUGGUGAACCCCUUUCCUUAUCCAUAAACACAAAAGAUUCUUCCAUAAAGAAUUAGGGAGCAGAGAAAGAAGAAGACUUCUUCCACUUGCGAGCAAGUUGGUGAGAGCAAGAGAGCAGGCCAGCCAUCUUUAUCUUUCUUAAUCCCAAUGGUAGAAAAUGUAGCACAAUAAAUGAUAGGCUUUUAUCAAUCAGGCUACCUAUCCUUGUUCUCUUGAGAAGAAAUGAGUAAGGGGUAAAAAGAGGAGAAGGUAUUUCCCCUAUAGAGACUUCCCAGAAGUGUGAAACUUGACAGAAGGUAUUUUCCGGGUACGGAUAUAGGAUUCUUCCUAUGCCAGCUUUCCCUAUGCUUUAAUAAGCUUUUGCUGUGUGAUAAACCACCUCAAGACCUCAGAGCUUAUAAACAACGGCCAUUUAUUCAUCUCAUUAUUUUGCGGAUCAGCAAUUUGGGCUGGUCUCAACUGAGUUUGCUCGUGUGUCUGUAGUUAGCUGUUGGGUCAGCUACAUGCUGGCCGAUCUAGGAUGACCUUAGCUGGGACAUCUUGUCUCUGCUUCAUGAGUUAUCUCAUCCUCAUCAUCCUAGCUUGGGCUUGCUCAAAUGGUGGCUGGUUCCAAGACAGAAGGGCCCUGUCUCAGACCUGGCACAUUGUUACUUCUGCCACAUUCUGUUUGCCAAAUCGAGUCAUAGGGACAAUCCAGAUUCAACGGGUAGGGAAAUAGGCAACACCUGUGGCUCAGAGGCGCUUCCAA